GAGCCUUGUAGCCAAGAAGGCCAAAAGCGUGCACUGGGAAGAGCAUUGCCAGCAGGUGCAGGGAGAGGAUCCAGCCCCUCUGCGCAGCCCUGGGGAGGCACCUCUGGGUGCUGUGCCCAGGCCUUGGCUCCCCGGGGUGGGAAGGACGCGGAGCUCCCGGAGCGGCUCCUGGGGAGGCACCUCUGGGUGCUGUGCCCAGGUCUUGGCUCCCCGGGGCGGGAGGGACGCGGAGCUCCCGGAGCGGCUCCUGGGGCGCCUUUCUGAGGAGGAGAGGCCGAGGGAAAGGGUUGGGCUUGUUCACCCUCGAGACAGCGGAGAAGGGACCUCAUUAGCAGACUCGCACCUCCUCACCUUCCCAGCCUUAGAAAAGAGAGAAUGACUUCAGAACUGAAAUGAAGCAAAGUAAGAAGCAAAAGCUUAAUUUGCAUUUCCAUAUACGUUCAGCUGUUCUGCCUUACCUUGCAUGAGGAUUGAAUGGUAUAGGGAAGGAUUCACAUAACAUCUAAGGGAAUGGAUGAAAUGGAAAUCUAAGUUUUAUCUGGACUCCCUCCUUGUUCAUAACUCAGCUGAGUUUGAUAAGAAAACAGAAGAACAGAUGUACCCUAGUAGCAAUCCUGCAACCUACCUGCAUAAGUCAGAGGGAAGCAGAAGAGCAAACAGAGCCAGUGAAAUGCAACAGCUGUUAGGGCUCCCCAGUCCUGGGCUGAAGACUGAACUUACAAGAUGAUCAUGGAAAAUCCUUUCAUCUGAGAAAUGGUGUCUGAGCUGACAGCCUCUGAAGAUGAGAAAAGCAAGGCUUUCAGUGUCAUCUCUUCAUUUUUACUGACCUAGAAAAGGGAGAGGAAAGGGCAAAAAGACUUUUGGAGGAAGCCUGAGUGUUUCUGCUUAAGCAUCUAGUUGGUUAACAUGCUGGACUUGCAGAAGAAGUGUACGUCAUCAGUGGCGCACAUCCUGGAGAAUUCUCCUAUCAGAGGAAAUUCCUUCCCUGCAGUGAUCAAGUGAGGAAGCACUGAUUGCUCUGCAAAUUUCAGCAUUAUGACUUUUCAUAUUUCUGUUUUCCAUCUUUCAAUAAACAGGUGAGGUGUAGUUAACCUGAUUAUGAGGAGCUAGACAAAUAUGAUGCCUGUCUAAUGAUCUUACGUUUUCUUAACCAAUCAGCAGCAUUUACACUAUCACAGUGUCAACAUGUACAUAUUCUCUUUUUUCACGAUGACCCUAUGACCAUUGCAGGAUCAGAA